GGGUCCUUAGUAUAGCUAGAGCUUUUGACUGCAGAUCAAAAGGUUACCAGUUCGGACUUGGUAAAACCCU
rnacentral:tRNA from 1 species